UCAACCCUCAAGCUCAGCUUGGUAUUGGGUGUCACCUAGGAAUGGUGCACCUUAAAAUCAGUGGCGGUGCUAUCUGGCUUCAAGUGUAGUAAACGUUUCGCUUUUGAGGUUUUGGAUAAGUGCUUGCCAUCAACCCCUAAUUUGUCAAA
rnacentral:misc_RNA from 1 species